rnacentral:tRNA from 1 species
GCCCCCGUAGCUCAGUUGGAUAGAGCACCGGCCUCCGGAGCCGGGAGCAUCGGUUCAAGUCCGGUCGGGGGUACCA